rnacentral:rRNA from 1 species
UACGAAGGGGGCGAGCGUUGUUCGGAUUUACUGGGCGUAAAGGGCGCGCAGGCGGCUUAUUUUGUCAGGCGUGAAAGCCCCGGGCUUAACCUGGGAACUGCGUUUGAUACGGAUGGGCUAGAGUUCGGGAGAGGAGAGUGGAAUUCCCAGUGUAGAGGUGAAAUUCGUAGAUAUUCGCAAGAACACCAGUGGCGAAGGCGGCUCACUGGCCCGAUACUGACGCUGAGGCACGAAAGCGUGGGGAGCAAACAGG